GACGAACGCUGGCGGCGUGCCUAAUACAUGCAAGUCGAACGAAGCUGUUUUAACUGGUGCUUGCACCGACUUAAACAACUGAGUGGCGAACGGGUGAGUAACACGUGGGUAACCUGCCCCAAAGCGGGGGAUAACAUUUGGAAACAGAUGCUAAUACCGCAUAACCACAGAAACCACAUGGUUUCUGUGUCAAAGAUGGUUUCGGCUAUCACUUUGGGAUGGACCCGCGGCGUAUUAGCUAGUUGGUAAGGUAAUGGCUUACCAAGGCAAUGAUACGUAGCCGAACUGGGAGGUUGAUCGGCCACAUUGGGACUGAGACACGGCCCAAACUCCUACGGGAGGCAGCAGUAGGGAAUCUUCCACAAUGGACGAAAGUCUGAUGGAGCAACGCCGCGUGAGUGAAGAAGGUUUUCGGAUCGUAAAACUCUGUUGUCAGAGAAGAACGUGUGCGAGAGUAACUGUUCGUGCAGUGACGGUAUCUGGCCAGAAGGCCACGGCUAACUACGUGCCAGCCGCCGCGGUAA
rnacentral:rRNA from 1 species